CGAAGGUCCCAAGCGUUAUCCGGAUUUAUUGGGUUAAAGGGUGCGUAGGCGGCUUAUUAAGUCAGUGGUGAAAGCUCCAUGCUUAACAUGGAAAUUGCCAUUGAUACUGAUGAGCUUGAGUAUAUUUGAAGUGGGCGGAAUGUGUCGUGUAGCGGUGAAAUGCUUAGAUAUGACACAGAACACCGAUUGCGUAGGCAGCUCACUAAACUAUAACUGACGCUGAGGCACGAAAGCAUGGGGAUCAAACAGGAUUAGAUACCCUGGUAGUCCAUGCCCUAAACGAUGAUUACUCGAUGUGUGCGAUACACUGUACGCGUCUGAGCGAAAGCAUUAAGUAAUCCACCUGGGGGGUACGGCCGCAAGGCUG
rnacentral:rRNA from 1 species